GACGAACGCUGGCGGCGUGCUUAACACAUGCAAGUCGAACGAUGAAGCUGGAGCUUGCUCCGGUGGAUUAGUGGCGAACGGGUGAGUAACACGUGAGCAAUCUGCCCUUGACUCUGGGAUAACUGCGGGAAACUGUAGCUAAUACCGGAUACGACACCUUGGGGCAUCCCAGGGUGUGGAAAGAAUUUCGGUCAAGGAUGAGCUCGCGGCCUAUCAGCUAGUUGGUGAGGUACUGGCUCACCAAGGCGACGACGGGUAGCCGGCCUGAGAGGGUGACCGGCCACACUGGAACUGAGACACGGUCCAGACUCUUACGGGAGGCAGCAGUGGGGAAUAUUGCACAAUGGGCGAAAGCCUGAUGCAGCAACGCCGCGUGAGGGAUGAAGGCCUUCGGGUUGUAAACCUCUUUUAGCAGGGAAGAAGCGAAAGUGACGGUACCUGCAGAAAAAGCACCGGCUAACUACGUGCCAGCAGCCGCGGUAA
rnacentral:rRNA from 1 species